rnacentral:lncRNA from 1 species
AACAUUAUUUCUAUACGAAAAUAAGUAAUUUGUUGCUAUCAAAUUUUGUUAAAACAAAAAUAUUUAUAUAUUUACCUAAAAUUAAUGAAAAAUAAUAAAAGGGUGAAAAAUAAAGAUAAUAGAACACUUUUAUUGCUUAAUGUUUACAAAAUGAAAAAGAAAAACAUUAUUUUUUUAACUAGAAAAUCAGCCAAAGUUUUUGUCAGUGAUGAGGCUAUCAUAAAGACUGAAAGUAAGUUAUCUCCGUGGACUGUAUCUGCCACUAGCCCCCUCUCUCGGCAAUUGAGUUUGUACAUAUGCACACCCUAAUCAUUGCGCUUG